GACGUAGGGCGCGAGCGUUGUCCGGAUUUAUUGGGCGUAAAGAGCUCGUAGGCGGCUUGUCGCGUCGUCCGUGAAAACCUGCGGCUCAACUGCAGGCUGGCGGUCGAUACGGGCAGGCUGGAGUUCGGUAGGGGAGACUGGAAUUCCUGGUGUAGCGGUGAAAUGCGCAGAUAUCAGGAGGAACACCGGUGGCGAAGGCGGGUCCCUGGACAACUCCUGACACUGAGGCACGAAAGCUAGGGGAGCAAACAGG
rnacentral:rRNA from 1 species